rnacentral:rRNA from 1 species
UACGUAGGGGGCAAGCGUUGUCCGGAAUCAUUGGGCGUAAAGGGCGCGUAGGCGGCGUGUCAAGUCAGGCGUGAAAGCCCCGGGCUCAACCUGGGAACCGCGCUUGAGACUGGCAUGCUCGAGUUCGGGAGAGGAUGGUGGAAUUCCCAGUGUAGAGGUGAAAUUCGUAGAUAUUGGGAAGAACACCGGAUGGCGAAGGCAGCCAUCUGGACCGACACUGACGCUGAGGCGCGAAAGCGUGGG